UACCAGGUCGAAUGACGUUAGGGUGACAGU
rnacentral:piRNA from 1 species